CCUACGAGAGGCAGCAGUGAGGAAUAUUGGUCAAUGGACGAGAGCCUGAACCAGCCAAGUAGCGUGAAGGAUGACUGCCCUAUGGGUUGUAAACUUCUUUUAUAUGGGAAUAAAAUGUUCCACGUGUGGGAUUUUGUAUGUACUAUAUGAAUAAGGAUCGGCUAACUCCGUGCCAGCAGCCGCGGUAAUACGGAGGAUCCGAGCGUUAUCCGGAUGUAUUGGGUUUAAAGGGAGCGUAGGUGGAUUGUUAAGUCAGUUGUGAAAGUUUGCGGCUCAACCGUAAAAUUGCAGUUGAGACUGGCAGUCUUGAGUACAGUAGAGGUAGGCGGAAUUCGUGGUGUAGCGGUGAAAUGCUUAGAUAUCACGAAGAACUCCGAUUGCGAAGGCAGCUCACUAGACUGCAACUGACACUGAGGCUCGAAAGUGUGGGUAUCAAACAGGAUUAGAUACCCCUGUAGUC
rnacentral:rRNA from 1 species